rnacentral:rRNA from 1 species
CGUCGCCGCGGGAAUACGUAGGGUGCAAGCGUUAAUCGGAAUUACUGGGCGUAAAGCGUGCGCAGGCGGUUAUAUAAGUCAGAUGUGGAAUCCCCGGGCUCAACCUGGGAACUGCAUUUGAGACUGUAUGGCUAGAGUGUGUCAGAGGGGGGUAGAAUUCCACGUGUAGCAGUGAAAUGCGUAGAGAUGUGGAGGAAUACCGAUGGCGAAGGCAGCCCCCUGGGCCAAUACUGACGCUCAUGCACGAAAGCGUGGGGAGCAAACAGGAUUAGAUACCCCUGUAGUCCCUGUCUCUUAUACC